AUCCCCUAGUAAGGGCGACUGAAAAGGGAUCAGCUCACCAUGUGAAUCUGCGUUUACCGUGCAAGCGGGCGCGCCGAAUUGUGGUCUGGAGAGGCAUUGUCGACCGCGGUUCCGGGCCAAGUCCCUUGGAAAAGGGCAGCUGAGAGGGUGAAACUCCCGUUCUUGCCUGGAGCUUGUGUGUCAUGGCACGUGCACUCAAAGAGUCGAGUUGCUUGGGAUUGCAGCUCAAAGUGGGUGGUAAAUUCCAUCUAAAGCUAAAUACCGGUGGGAGACCGAUAGCGCACAAGUACCGUGAGGGAAAGAUGCAAAGAACUUUGAAAAGAGAGUUAAAGAGUACCUGAAAUUGCUGAAGGGGAAGCAAAGGAAACCAGUGCGUAGUGCGUGUCCUAUUUCUCUUGCUGCUUGCGGUAGGGGCGCUGGGGCCGUGCGUUUGCGUCAGCAUCGGUUCGUACUUCGGAGCAUACGGAACUGCGGGAGGUGACUCCAUUACGGAGCGAAGACUGCGGUACACUGGCUCUGGAGGGGACCGAGGUUAGUCACGAGCACGUGAUGCUGGCUAAAUGGUUUUCUUUACCCCGUCUUGAAACACGGACCAAGGAGUCUAACACAUGUGCGAGUACAAGGGUGUCAAACCUACGUGCGAAAUGAAAGUGAAAGAGGUUGGAUCCUGUAAAAAGGUGCACAAUCCGCCGGCCCCAAUUCUUCGGAAGAAAGGUCUGAGUGUGAGCACAUCUGUUGGGACCCGAAAGAUGGUGAACUAUGCCUGAAUAGGGUGAAGCCUGGGGAAACUCAGGUGGAGGCUCGUAGCGAUUCUGACGUGCAAAUCGAUCGUCGAAUU
rnacentral:rRNA from 1 species